GUGGCCUGUACUUAACCUUUAACACCACUACCCUAGAAGUCAUGAAUAUGUAAUGGAGCCACCCUGCUGUGAGCAGCAUACAUGAGAUAAUAAAUUCCCUCUUGAUUGCUACAGUAAUUGGCUAUGCCCCCAAGCAUGAGACUUGAUUAUUCCAACAUGUAUAAUUAUGAAAGUUAUUAUAGGCAUAAAUUAGACAGCUCUUUUAAAAAUACAGCUAUAAUACCACUCAGUGUGAUCCCGAAUCAUAUUUUAUGGGGCAAGGUGAAAAAGGACCAUUGGUUUUCACUAUAGCAAUUUUACUAAUUUCUCUUAAAUCUCAACCUUUCACCUACUCAACAAAGAUCUUCCAUUUUUA